GGCAACGGGGACGCUCUCUGCUUUGCUUUCAAAGGAGGGGUUUGGGGUUCCCUGAGUGAUUUCCUCCUCUCGCCCGGAAACCGAGGCACGCUCGCCGAUCCCUUAGGGUGAGCGUCGCGAUGUGCCUGGGACCGACACAGUCAUGGCGCCGGGUCCCGCCCGACGUUGGCCUCUGGCUCUCGGCGCUGGGGAACAGGGUUGUCAGCUGAGGAUUCCAGGCGGACCCAGGGCAGGGGUGAGGGGCUCGCGGCCCGGCGCCGGGCCCGCCGGUCUGUUGUCCCGUCACCUGAGGUGUCCAGGGUAGAAAGGCGAAAACUAAACUCUCCUCAGACCCCUCCCGAAAGCGCUACGCUGCCUCCCACACCGCUGCCUCCCACACCUCUUCCUAGCCGCUUUGCGCAUGGCGGUGAGACGUUCAGUGACGCGCCUCAGUUGGGAAAUUGAACUGGCAAAGGAACAGUUCUUGAAGACUUGAACGUCUUGGCAGCCUUUGGUGUUAUUUUAGGGGACAUGCUCCCGGGGGAAGAAAAUUCACGGCUCAUCUUUGAGUGGGAAGGAGCGUUGCUUAGGCUUCGUUGGAGCAUCGUGGGAAACGAACUGGAAUUCAGAUUUUAACGGACGAGAAUUACUAGCCCUUUUCAUCUAUUCAAUAGAAAGGGAAUUGAAAGACUCCCUUGCCGCAUCCUCAAGGAAACCCAAGCUUGUUAAUUGCAUCAACUAUAUUAGAUGUUGAAGAGCUGAGUCAA
rnacentral:lncRNA from 1 species